UACGGAGGGGGCUAGCGUUGUUCGGAAUUACUGGGCGUAAAGCGCACGUAGGCGGAUCAGAAAGUUGGGGGUGAAAUCCCGGGGCUCAACCUCGGAAUGGCCUUCAAGACUGCUGGUCUUGAGUUCGAGAGAGGUGAGUGGAAUUCCGAGUGUAGAGGUGAAAUUCGUAGAUAUUCGGAGGAACACCAGUGGCGAAGGCGGCUCACUGGCUCGACACUGACGCUGAGGUGCGAAAGCGUGGGGAGCAAACAGG
rnacentral:rRNA from 1 species